CCGGGGUAGUAUACAGUUAUUUUCUUGAAACCCAAAGAGUUUGGCGGUACUUUAGUCUAGUUAGAGGAGCUUGUUCAGUAAUUGAUAAUCCUCAAAAAAUCUUACGUAUUUUGUAGUCAGUUUAUAUACCGUCGUUAUUAGAUAAUAUUAAAAGGUGCUUAAUUAUCCAAACAUACUUAAUUUAUAAUAUAUCAGAUCAAGGUGUAGCUUAUAAAUACGAAUCGAAUGAGCUACAUUUUAUUUUAUAAAUAACGGAAAUUGGUUUUAAAUAAUCAAUAAAAGGUGG
rnacentral:rRNA from 1 species